GAUGAACGCUGGCGGCGUGCCUAAUACAUGCAAGUCGAGUGAACAGACGAGGAGCUUGCUCCUCUGACGUUAGCGGCGGACGGGUGAGUAACACGUGGAUAACCUACCUAUAAGACUGGGAUAACUUCGGGAAACCGGAGCUAAUACCGGAUAAUAUAUUGAACCGCAUGGUUCAAUAGUGAAAGACGGUUUUGCUGUCACUUAUAGAUGGAUCCGCGCCGCAUUAGCUAGUUGGUAAGGUAACGGCUUACCAAGGCAACGAUGCGUAGCCGACCUGAGAGGGGGAUCGGCCACACUGGAACUGAGACACGGUCCAGACUCCUACGGGAGGCAGCAGUAGGGAAUCUUCCGCAAUGGCGAAAGCCUGACGGAGCAACGCCGCGUGAGUGAUGAAGGUCUUCGGAUCGUAAAACUCUGUUAUUAGGGAAGAACAAAUGUGUAAGUAACUAUGCACGUCUUGACGGUACCUAAUCAGAAAGCCACGGCUAACUACGUG
rnacentral:rRNA from 1 species